UAGGUGCUGUAAGGCUUAAUAGAGAAAUCGGUGUAAAUCCGAUACAGUCCCGCUGCUGUAAAAGGGAGUCUUUUUUCAAAAUGUCACUGGAAAUUUCUGGGAAGGCGAAAAAGAUGAUGAACUUGAGUCAGAAGAACUGCCUGUUUUGAU
rnacentral:ncRNA from 1 species